GUGAAGAUGGAUUUUGUUGGUGGGUGUUCCUUGAGUGUAUGGAGCAGUCCUUUUAAUGGAGUCUUGAAGUUUUGGCGAAAUUUUUGGAAACCCAUCUUCUCUACCAUGCCAAUCCCUCAAAAGCUCGGGGUCUCUGAAGCAUUGAGAAAAAGCACAAAUUCAACAGAUUCUUAUUAAGUAUCUUCUACAUGAUGAGACUGGAAAUAAUUCACAGCAUAGCCACAAAGACGGAUCUGUCUAAUUGGAUGUGUGAAGUACUCCAGGAGCACACGACGUGCUCUGGAAUUAAGCAGUGAGCGAUGAACCAGCAUGGCGCAUUCAAGGAGGAAUCUUGGCCUCUGAAGAAAGACUUUGAAAAGUGACAAGAUGAAGGAGGUAGGAAUGGGCAAUGUGUAGAGCAGGGAACAUCUUCCAGGCACAGGGAAUACCAUCAGCAAAGGCACCAAAGCUUGGAAGUACCUGCUGCUUGCCAGUGAGUGAUCAUCGUGGGGUGAGUGAGUGGGAGAGGGGAGAAGACCCUCUUCCUUUCU
rnacentral:lncRNA from 1 species